GUAUAUUUAACUUUAUAGGUACAAAGGCACCUGGUUCGACAUUCUAAACACAUUCAAGAGGUUGUGAAAAUGACAUAGACCUGAAAAAUGAAAAGGGAAAGCCGACCAUGAUUUACAAAGCACAGCAGUCCCAACUCGAAAUGAAUCAACAAAAGCUCCAGGUCUACAAUAUGUGCACAGUUGGAGAGAUAAAGAUGACAAGCGUGCACAUACCCUCCAAAGAGGGCCAGCAACAGCCUGUGCAAGUUUAUUCAAUAAUGAUCCUUCCGCAGGUUCACCUACGGAAA
rnacentral:misc_RNA from 1 species